rnacentral:rRNA from 1 species
UCACGCCAGUGGCAUUGCCGGGUAGCUAUAUACGGACGGGAUAACCGCUGAAAGCAUCUAAGCGGGAAGCCCCCUUCAAGAUUAGGUUUCUCUGGAGCCUUGAGCUCCCUGAAGGGCCCUCGAAGACUACGAGGUUGAUAGGCUGGGUGUGGAAGUUCAGUAAUGGAUGAAGCUAACCAGUACUAAUUGCCCGUGAGGCUUGGCCAU